AUUGAACGCUGGCGGCAUGCCUUACACAUGCAAGUCGAACGGCAGCACGGGAGCAAUCCUGGUGGCGAGUGGCGAACGGGUGAGUAAAGUAUCGGAACGUGCCCAGUCGUGGGGGAUAACGUAGCGAAAGUUACGCUAAUACCGCAUACGAUCUAUGGAUGAAAGCGGGGGAUCGCAAGACCUCGCGCGAUUGGAGCGGCCGAUAUCAGAUUAGGUAGUUGGUGGGGUAAAGGCUCACCAAGCCGACGAUCUGCAGCUGGUCUGAGAGGACGUCCAGCCACACUGGGACUGAGACACGGCCCAGACUCCUACGGGAGGCAGCAGUGGGGAAUUUUGGACAAUGGGCGCAAGCCUGAUCCAGCCAUGCCGCGUGCAGGAUGAAGGCCUUCGGGUUGUAAACUGCUUUUGUACGGAACGAAAAGGUUUGACUUAAUACGUUGGACUCAUGACGGUACCGUAAGAAUAAGCACCGGCUAACUACGUGCCAGCAGCCGCCGUAA
rnacentral:rRNA from 1 species